rnacentral:snRNA from 12 species
AGAAGUAGCAUGCAGGGGGAGAUACCACAGUCAUGAAAGUAGUUUUCUGGGGUGAGGCUUAUCCAUAGCACUCUUGCUGCUGACCCCUGUGAUUUCCUCAAAUGUGGGAAAAACUUAACUAUAUGAUUUGUGGUGUAUGUGUGUGGGAGGGGGACUGUGUUCACACUGCCCCCUG